UUAUCUCCUUUUGUGUGUGACUAAUUCCUU
rnacentral:piRNA from 1 species